AACGAACGCUGGCGGCGUGUUUAAGACAUGCAAGUCGCACGGUGUCAUUUUGGUAGCAAUACUCGGAUGGCACAGUGGCGCACGGGUGAGUAACACGUGAAUGACAUGCCCUUGAGAGGGGGAUAGCCCAGGGAAACUUGGAUUAAUACCCCAUGGACUCGCGAGAGUAAAGGCGGCCGCAAGGCUGUCGCUCAAGGAUUGGUUCGCGUUCUAUCAGCUUGUUGGCGGGGUAACGGCCCACCAAGGCUACGACGGAUACCUGGUGUGAGAGGACGAUCAAGCACACUGGAACUGAGACACGGUCCAGACAACUACGGGUGGGAGCAGUCGAGAAUAAUUCACAAUUGGGGCAACCCUGAUGGUGCAACGCAGCGUGGAGGAUGAAGGUCUUCGGAUUGUAAACUCCUGUCAUCCGGGAGUAAGACCUGGCUGUGAAUAGCAGACAGGGUUGAUAGUACCGGAAGAGGAAGGGACGGCUAACUUCGUGCCAGCCGCCGCUGUAAAAC
rnacentral:rRNA from 1 species